UGUGUACUCCCUUCGUUCCAAAAUACUUGACUUCCAUUUGUCCAAAAAUGGAUGUACCUAUAUACUAAAACAUGUCUAGAUACAUAUAUAUUUUGACAAAUAGAAGGCAUGUAUUGUGCAACGGAGGGUGUAGAAU
rfam:Triticum aestivum genome assembly, contig: Triticum_aestivum_CS42_TGACv1_scaffold_591781_7BS